AAGAAGCGUAAUUCUUAGCCAAUGGAAAAAGUGCCAGCCCACACCCCACCGACCACGCGCAGAGGUCCACCAGAUCCACGAAGUCAGCCAGGGCGCGCGUCGCUGCCAGCCCCUUCGGCUUCCGCAGCCACCACCUCGGCCUCCUCCGUCUCCGCCCUUUUCCGGAGCCCCAGCGCCGUCGGAUCGUCCUCAGUCGUCGCUCCACCGGACCCCGCCGCGGCGCGAGGAUGAAAUUACUGUUAUUUCGGAGCCUGAGAUACCCAAAGAGAAUGUUAAUUUGCCACUAUUUCCAAAUAGAAAUGUAAAUAGACGGAUAGCUUUGGCUUCCA